GGAUGUGAGGGCAAUCUGACCAUGACAUCUGUCACUCCACUGAUCACCAGGGUUGAUUCGGCUGAUCUGGCCAGCUAGGCGGGUGUCCCUCCCGAAGCUGUGUGCCUUCCACGAACAGAGAUGGACCUGUCUUCGGUCUAGGGUGUAUGAGUAGCUGCGCUCCCCUACUAGAACCUCCAAACAAGCUCUCAAGGUCCAUUUGUAGGAGAACGUGGGGCAGUCAAGCUUCCAAGACUCCAGACACAACGAGAUGAGGCACUGCAUGUGGCAGUCUGCCUCUAAAA
ensembl:misc_RNA 7SK 7SK RNA